CUCGGGCCCGUCCCAAUAGCCCGCCAUGGCGACAAGGGCAUGAGCGACGUAUCGCGAGAAGACGCCGCGGCCCCGCCUCGCGAGGAGGCGAGGCCAGGAACCGUCCCGCGGGCACGCGCGUGGCCAGCGGGCAGGAAGUGGAGCUGAAGGUGCGCCUCACCCAGUUUCGGUGAUCAGCUCCCCUGGGUUGCAGCAGCACCGGGCGAUCGAUUGCGUUCCCUAGACUGUCCAGGAGACAGAUGAGUGGUGGACCAGGGGGGUCCGUGAAGAGUCCACAGGGAAAGACCACUGAAAAGCUCACUGGUGGUUGCACGGUACACUGCCCUCGUUCCUGCUGGUGAGCAGAGGUUUGUGCGUGGUACCCUGUGCAAUGGGAUUUCCACGACAUAUUGCCCUCAUUCCUGCUGGUGAGCAAAGACUUGCAAGACAUGGUUUGCUCUCUACCCUACUCCUGCCCCCUGCACAAUGGAAUUCAUCACAGUGAUCAUCAAUCUCCUCUGUUUUUGGCCCUGUGCCCCUCACUUUGUAAAAGACUAUAAAAUUAUACCCCAAACUUACCUUCCUUUGAGAUCUCCCCAACGGACAGAAGACUCUGCGUCGUUGGACGGCUGAGUGGACUUCAACGUUGAUAGCUAUAAUCCCCUUACUCUCUUUUCCUUCUGCUUUGUUUUCUCCUCUUUUCCCUCUAUCACAUAUUAGUGCUGAUGAGCACUCAAUAAAGUGUGUUUUGCUGUUUAAGUCCUUGGUUUGCUGAUAAUCUUCUGUACUCUAAGAUCUAAUAAAAGAACCACAUCAUGAAUCC